GUGGUGAGCAUUUGGGACAUUGAUUCUAUCUUACAAUUGAGCAGAAACACCCAUUGUUGCCUCUUGAAGGAUGGCACUGCCCCUAAGAUAAACUGGUUGGUUCCUUCUGUUGUGGAAUGGAUUGCUAUUGGAAGUCAUCUCUUUGUACUGACCUAUAAAAAGAAAACUAGUUUGAGAUGGACCAUAGCUGCUGAAGGAAGGAAUCCCUCCCCCACCCUCACCCCUCCCUUCAGCUCUAGCCUUGGAACUCUUUAACAGUUGACUUCUGACAUCUGAACUAAAGGUUCCUGGGAUGCUAAGCUCCUGGCCAGCCUUGAAGAAUCUGCAGCAUACUCUCAAACUCUAUCACCAUUUUAUGUGGAAUCACAUAGACCAAGUAGCAAGAAUUACUGGAUCCUUGGAUUUUCUGGGCAGGAUAAUCUCAGAAUCUGCCUUGUAGGCAAUGCCAGCUUUGAGGGGUGUCUCCCAAACAACCCUAAUUUGACAUUUAGAGAUUAAUUUUCUAUUGAAAAAAAUAGGAAUUUCCUGAGCAGCAAAACUCUUGGCGAGAAAAGAAGAUUGGCCACGAAGCUUCAGCAACUAUGAAGGACAAACACCAUGAUGCAAGAGAAUAAGGAACAUGAUGCUCUUGGCUCUCAGUAAGUCAUUGGAUAGUCCUGAGCUGCGAGUUACACAUGCAUUGAAAACUCAGCAUGCAGGUCUGCUCAGGAGUCAAAACAAAGAAUUCAGGAGUCUCACUGAGCGUCAUUGAAGUCCAGUGGAAAGACAAAAAAGUCAAGAAGAUUGGUGAUGGCCUGAGAUGCAAUGGCCAUCUUGGAUGGCUGACCAAGCCGUAAGCACCCCAGAGUACCUGCUUCAGCCUUCUUCAUAGUGAGAGAAAUAAUUUAUUUGACCCCUACUUUAUUCUAACCAAUAUUAAUCAAAUUUGGUAUUUCACAUCACAAUUCUUUGUAAAAGUCCCCUGAGCUUUAAGUUACAAAAUCUAAGUUUACUUGUUUAACUAUAAGAAGUUAACUAAAGGUCCUCCAACUUAGUUUUGUUUUGUCAUGAUGGCCAAGCCCAGUGUGGCUGAAAUCACAAUUACAUGGAAAAUCCCCCCAAAAUAUUUUUGUAUUUCUUGCCCAGUAAAAGAUGACCAUCUUAUGACCACUUAGAUCACUGACUGUGAUAGCUCCACCCAACUUGUUAUUCUAAUGAUAUUUAUAUUUUAGCUUAUUUAUAUGAUAACCAAUGGGAUUCUGUUCUCUGUUUAGCAUAACUAUCACCCUAUAAAAGUAUACCCCUAAAGAGAGGUGGCUUCUCAGAUCAUGAGGAAGCUCUGAGGUUCACUUCAGUAGAGGGAACCAUGAACUCUUUAAUAAAGUGUCAUUGACUCAGAA